AAAUCUCAGCGUUUUGGCUAAUAUCAAGUGUAGUAUCUAUUCAUAUCAUUUUGAUAACUGAUAUGUCCCCUAAGGACAAUAUAUUAAAUGGAUUUUUGGAAGUAGGAUUGGAAUAGGAGCUUGCUCCAUCCACUCCACGCAUUGACCUGGUAUUGCAGUACCUCCAGGAAUGGUGCAACUCCU